UACAUAUGGUCUGGUUUUUGGUUUUAUCAAGAAGGUAACAUGGGCAGACUUAAAUGGUAAGACAUUUCCAGAACUCAUUGCAGCAAAUGAACUCAAGUUGAACAUGUGCUUCCUACAAAUUGUCUGUCACUAAGUUCAUGUAUAUAUGUAUGAACUCAUCUCGGGUUUCACGUGUAGCUAUGACCCCAUUGCAUGUACUGUUGCCCUAUCAGUUCUUGCAACUUGUGUUCCUCUUUCCUCUAACUUUUGGUCAAGUCUAAUGCCGCGUUACCGUUGAGUGUCUUGUGUGCUAUUCACGAAUACAGAAAGCAUGUGAUGAGCUUUAUUAUCGGCCUGGAAUGACAUGUAGCUAUGUCCAAUUCAAUGCACAGAGUUGUUGUGGCUUGUUUCGCUCUUCCUUUUGCGUCUGUUUCAGUGGUCUGACUGCGGACUUCUAUAUAGGGAUUUUUGGGAGAAUAACAUGUUUGCAUAGCCUUCAACUUGAUAGCUCCAAGCCCACAUUCUCAGUGUGAGAGGAAGACUGAGUAUGAUGGAUGGGCCGCCCCAACUGUCAAAGCCACCUUCAGGAUACGAAUAUGCAUGAUCAUGCUCGAUUAUCCUUGAAGUUUCUUCGUCAGUGUCAAUCACAGAAGAUCAAAGAAUGGUUAUUGAUGUGAAACAUGUGUAUCCACAGUUAUGGUUAAACUCCAUGUUUUUUAAAUCUCUCCUUUAGAGCUAACUGAAGGUUAGUAUAGGAAGAACAAACGACUCUAGCAAAGCAUAUCAUCGAAAAAGAGUUGGAAGUUUGCGUGCACGAACACUUGAAUGUAAAACAUGAAUGGAUGCACUUAUGCAUAUGUUACAGUUACAUUUAUGUUUUGAUUGAUCGAUUUGUGAGCAUGACCUGAACUAUCAUAAGCCAGCCACUCGGUUUCUUUGCACAUUGUGUCCUAGUAAUUUUGAUGUUUUUCGGUCUUACAAGCCGAGUUUACUUUCACUGAAUGCAAGAGGUUCAAGAUAAGCUCUCAACUAAAAGUUGAAUACAUGAUUCGAACCGAUUCCAGUCAUUUCACACAUUUUAGUUACUGUUACAUAGGGACGGUCCUGAGUUUUUUGGUGCCCAGUGCAAAAGCUCAAAAUGUGCCCUUUUUUAAUAUGUAAACAUAUGUUUAAAAAAAGGGAGACUUUGGAUGCGGUCCCUAGUUAUGAACAAUCUUUGACUGAAACCUUGUUGGUUUUUAAUUUUUGAUCAAAGUCCCUGAAAUUAAUUAAUAAUUUAUUUUUAUGUACGUUACUAUAUUUUUUAAAUUAAAAAUUAAAAUUUAUAGUUGUUUAUAUUAAUGAGAUUUUAAAUAAAAAACCAUAAUUUGUGGGAUUAAAAAUAUUAAAAUAUAAAUAUACUAUUGUGUGUGUGUGUGUAAACAUGGGUACAUUCAUAAAAAAUAACCAAAAAAUUAUUGUAUCAAAACAUGGGUACAUUCUUCAAAAUGGGUACAUUUAGCAAAAAUAAAAAUGGGUACAAAUAAAUAAAAAAAUAUGGGUACAAUACAAAUAAACUUUAAAAAAUAUGGGCACAAAAAGAAAUUAAUAUAUGGGUACAAAUUAAACUGAAAGGAAAAUUGGUACAAAUUAAAAAAGGGUUGCAAAUUAAAAAUGGGUACAAACUAAAAAUAAAAAUAAUGGUUGCAAAUUAAAAAUGGGUACAAACUAAAAAUAAAAAUAUAUGAUAAAAAAUUUAGCCAUAAAUAUAAAUAUACUAAUUGUAACAUUUUUAAUAUUAAAUGAAUAUAUUUAGAAAUAAAAAAUAUUUUAUUAUUGAAAUAAUUAAUGAUAUUAUUAAUACAAAUGACCUUGAUCAAAAAUUGAAAAGUAAUAAGGUUUUAAUCAAUAGAGUAGUAAAAAUAAGGAUGAAAACCUAAUUACUCCUUAAAAAAAAUAUUUAACGAGGAUAAUCACAUGUAUGUGUAAAAAAAUUCAUCACUAAUAGCAUGCAAAAUGGCUUCCAAUUUUUGUCAUGUAUGUGUAAAAUUUUAUUCACAUCAACCAAAUUAUGAUUCAAAACAGAUGGAUAAUCACACAUACAAACCUGCAAAUGGCUUUUGACUUCAUCAUUAGUAAGCCCAUCAACCUUCAUUAACUCUCUAAUUUGUUUUCGUAUAGCAGCUGCAAGAAAAAAAAAACCAAUCACAUAACGCAUUAAACACACAUCCAAUACAUCCCAAUCCAAUUAGAUAUUCAUCCAAUCAUGUAAAAUAUAGGUAUUCAUCAAUUUACCCCUGAACUUGUAAGGAUUGGCCAACACAAAGCAAAGAGUGGCCAACACAAAUCUGCCUGUGCAACAUUUCCAGAAAAACGCUUUCGAAAUCUUCACUGGUAUCCAUCUGCAAAUCCACAAAGACAAGUAAUUAAUGUUUCAUAUCAAUCACAUUGACAAACAAACUAAACAAUCUCCUCAAAAUUUUAAACCCAAAAAAUGUACUAAAUUUGAUAUUUAUUAACAUAAUCAAAGCAACUAAACAAAAACCAAAAUUGAAAGUAAUAAAAAUAAGGCCUAAUCGGAUAAAUGGUCUUCGUGGUUAUAAGAUAUUCGAAUAAUAGCCCAUGUGGUAAAAAAAUUCGGAUUUAAACUCCUGUGGUCACAGUCUGUUAGGAUUUAUGCCCUUCUGUCAUUCCUCCAUUAGGUUUAGGUUGGCCAAAUCGGAUAAAUGGUCUCCGUGGUCAUAAGGAAUUCGGAAGAUAGCCCAUGUGGUACAAAAAAUUCGGAUUUAAACCACUGUGGUCUAAGUCUAUUAGGAUUUAUGCCUGAAAUUAGAGGUUUUGUCAUUCCUUCGUUAAGCUUACAGGUGGAGUACAGUUUCUCUGCGUAUCUAUCAAUAAAAAAUAUCUUACAAUAAAAAGAGGGAGGGGGGGGAGAAGAUUUUAGUUUAUGGUAAAAAAAUUCAUUCAUCUCAGUUAUUUCACAAGAAGAAAAAGACGAAAACAGAGGAUCUGUUGAAUUUCAAAUAGUUAGUUUCACCAAUAGGAUACGAAGACUUACUUCACAUUUACAAUUACACAAAAAAACUAUUUAUCUCAGAGAGGUUUACGUAAAAUUCUAGGAAAACGCCAACGAUUACUGUCUUAUUUGUCAAAGAAAAAUAGAAUAUGUUAUAAAGAAUUAAUUAAUCAGUUGGAUAUUCGGGAGUCAAAAACUCGUUAAUUUUAUAAAGGCAUUUUGAAUGAUUUGAUUUAUUAGAUCUUGAAUUUUAAUGAAUUAUGUGAUUUAUUAGUUCCACCUCGUUCUGUCGCGUCUCCUCAGAGAAACUCUGUUCUACCUGUAAGCUAAGCGGAGAAAUGACAAAACCUCUAGUUUCGGGCAUAAAUCCUAACAAACUUAGACCGCAGGGGUUUAAAUCCAAAUUUUUUUUACCACAUGGACUAUCUUCUGAAUACCUUAUGACCACGGGGACCAUUUAUCCGAUUUUGCCAACAUAAACCUAAUGGAGGAAUGACAGAAGGGCAUAAAUCCUAGCAGACUUAGACUACAGGGGUUUAAAUCCUAACAGACUGUGAUCACAGGGGUUUAAAUCCGAAUUUUUUUACCACUAUCAUCCGAAUACCUUAUGACCACGGGAACCAUUUAUCCAAAUAGGCCUAAAAAUAAAUUGGUACAUUUUUGGGAUGGGUCUCCUUCAGCACAGAUUGGGCAUCGUGCGGCCCAACCUGAUUCAUGGAGGUCAUCGUCGCAGAGGUCAUCGUGCGGCCCAGUUAACCCCUAUUUUAAUUUUUUUAAUACCUAAUUAUUUGUAUUUUCUCUGUGUUCUUUUCCUCUCACAUCAGGUUCUUUAAAGAUGGUGUCAUCAAAGCUGCCAUAUCUGUUUUUGUCUCUCUGAGGUUUCUUAAGACGAGUACAGGGCCGGUCUAAACAUUUAGGAGGCACUGGGCAAAAAUAAAAAUAGGGCCCACAAACCUACAAUGCACAAAAAAAAAUUAUAUAUGUUUUUCAUGUGAUUUUUUUUCUUAGGUAUUUGAAUUUUCAAUAUUUUGAAUAAGUAUUUUUCUUUGUCGGAUAAUAAGUUCGUCAUAUAUAGAAAAACAAAGUUACAAUGUAAAAGUGGUCAUAAAGAAAAGAAGAUUGUCAUAUGGUAAAAAUACUAGUCAAUCAAACAAUACUUGACAUCUAAAGUCUCUAAGCAUGGGACUAUAACAAUGCAAUUUUUCUGAGCAAAAGCCUUGUAGCUGCCUGAAAGUUCCAAUUUUUGCAGCUGCGUGAAAGUGAUCUCAUUUUUUGAAUAAUCUUUGUGCUUGCCAAAUUAAAUUGGUAAAGACAUACAUACAUUAUUUUGUUGAAAGCUACUUAACCUUUUUGAUGAAUUAACCAAAUUUUAGUAAUUAUAAUCAAAGAUAAAAAAAAUUAACAAUCAAACAAAAAUUAGUAAAAAAUAGAAAUAAAAAGGCGUAAGACUCAUUCAAACCCGGGACCUCAUAAUUACUAGAAAACAACGCCACUAGCGCCUCUAGUUAACCCUCUUGUUGAAUUAACCCAAUUUUUGUUAAAUAUAAGUAUAUAAAUGAAAUUAACAAUCAAACAAAAAUAAGUAAAAAAAGAAAAAAAAGCACAGAGAAUAGUUCGAACAUGGGCCCUUGUUGUUUUGGCUUGGGUUUAAAAAUGAAAAGGGCUGCACGCAGCAGCUCAGAGCAGCAACAUGCCUUCAUUCAGGCAUUUCAAACACCUUCUAUGGAGGUUCAGAGGGAUGAAAUCCUCGCUUUUCAUGUGGAUUUUCGAUGAUCGGAAGUGGGGCUGCACCUUCUUGCGCUUAUGUGGCUUUGCCACUGUAUAAGUAUAUUUUUACGAUAAACACAAUGAACAAGAUGUAUAAAAACAUAAAGCAUCUAUUACAACAAAUAAAUAAAUAAAUAAAAUAUAUAAAAGUUGAUUGCAAACUGCAUAAUUAGAGUAAAUAACUAUACGGGAGCAUGUCGGAACUUUUUUUGUCGGGAUAAGGUCGGAACACUUUAGAUAAAUUCGGAUCGGAAAUUCUAUAUUAUAGGAAUUCUUAAAUGCAUUCCAAUUUUUCAAAAAAAUGUUCGAUUUAAGAACUUUUGGGUUCGAAUUUGGAAGUUCACUAUCUCAAUCAGAAUUACCAUUCCAACUUGGACGCUAUUAUUGGGAUAACCCUAAUGGUUUUCCUUUUCAAAAUGAAUUUUUUGGUUCCUAUUUAACCUUAAGAUAUUUAUUUAAUAUAAAUACAAAAAUGCAUAGUCACGAUUUUAUUUUGAGUAGAGUGAUAGCGUUACUGGGUUAGAAAGUUAGUUGUUAGGGAAAAGAAUCGGUAGAGAUCAAACCCUCACCAAAAUGUGUAAAUAUGAUUGUCUUUUGUCACUACCUUAAAACGCCAUUUGCAAGUCGCAACAUUUUUGUAGACUAUGAACUGAUUAACUCUUACAUAUUUCAUGCUCCAACCACCAUUUAUGGGAAAAUGUUGAGUGGGAUAAAGAAAGGCUGAACAUUACUUUUCAAGAAAAUGCAGGAACAAAGUUAUGAUAGAAAAAGACUGAAGGUUAUUACGCAUAACCACAUACAACUAACAUGGACAUGAACUAUAAAUCCUCUUGUUUGGUAGUUGCUUUUAAUUCAAACCAAUUGAUUACAUAUUCGAGAUUCAUCCUCUAAAACAAGAUUCAUGAAAGAUAAACCCUCAAAUUUGUGAUAAAUGGCUUGGGUAAAAGUAGAGCAAACCAUUUUCAACAAGAAGCUAGGUCGGCACCAUGACCAUGCAUGAACAAUAAUAACAUCUUAUUAUAAAUUAAAAAAGCAAAUACAAGUUUAAGCUAGCCAGCAAGCAAGGUCUCCACCUAUUCUUGAGCAGCCAUGGAUUUAGCCUUCAUACGUUGCUUAUGAGCCUCGGAUGGUGUUUUCACAUCUGUUGCCAACCCUAGAACCUCAAGAAAUUUUAUGAUGUACCAAGUCACGUCAAUCUGCCACCAUUCGAGGCCUUGUCGAGCUGAGUAUUCAAAAGCAUGGUGGUUAUUGUGCCAUCCUUCUCCAAGUGCAAGCAACCCCAACCACCUAAAGAAGAUCAAGAUUUUACAUAAAUAAAUACUUGUACGUCUUUGUAUAAUAUCAAAUUUUCAAAAUAAAUUUUUAUAUCUCAACUAUGAAUAUAAUAUAUACCAAAGGUUUUUAGAGAGAUCGCCGGUGUUCCAUGCCUGAUAUCCCCAAAUGUGGGCAGCCGAAUUUACAAAGAAAGUGCUAUGGAAAACAAUCACCAUCCUCACGCCCUGAAAUCAUAAGGAACUUAUUAUUCAAACUUAUGAGGGCUAGCUCUGUAGCUAUAUACAUAAAUGCUCAAAGAUGAAAAAAAAAAAAAGGAAAUUUAGAAAUCUAGCUCUCUCACCAUUAGCCAAACCACGAAGGGAAAUCCACCGAUGUAAUAUAGUAUACAUCCAAGAAGAAAUGAAUGUAGAAGGAGAGUGUGAUGAAGAAACACAUAGAAUGGCUGCUUCUUCAAGUCUUCAACAUUCCGAAGACCUUCGUACUGAAAAUUUAACAAAACAAAUAUUAGUAAGUAUUUGUACCAAAAAAGAAAAUUCAAUAAAACAAAGUGAGGAAAUUAUCAGUUCAGAGUCUGAGAGAGAAAGUGUGUGGCUUACUCUUCCAAACCGAGAACGGCUGUCUAGAAUCCAACCCAUGUGACUAUACCAAAAUCCCUUAAGUGGGCUGUGAGCGUCUUUCUCUGUAUCGGUAAAUUGGUGAUGGUACCGGUGUGUGCUCACCCACUCAAUCGGGCUACCCUGCAAAUGAAAACACAUCAAACGCAGCCUUUUCUCAUUAACCUAAUGCAGAUCCUAGUAAAAAUAGUCCCUAAAACAAAUAUGGAAAGAAGAAAGAAGAGAAAAAUAACAAAGUUGAAAAAUGUUGAUAUGCUUUGACAUACGUACCUGAACUGAGAGAACCCCACAAUAGGCAAACAAGUACUCGAGCAGUUUUGGGAGCCUAAAGCUCCGAUGAGCAAGGUUUCUAUGGUAAGAAAGAGUGAUUCCGAAACCAGUGACGUAACCCAGCACAAGCAUCAACCAAAAUGCUGUCCAAGUGAAGUAAAACGGUGCAAACAAACAAAGGACAUGCACACUCAGAAACAUACCAGCUGUGACAAUGUCAAGCAGAUUCCAUUUCCUCCCCCAAAAAUUUGCACAAGGAGUCUUAAGAAGGGUGACCCACAUCUUCAAAGGACCCAUGUUAUUAAGGACGUUCCCCUCAGCUUCUAAUUCUAUGGAUUGGCUUCUUUUUUUAAGGACGUUGUAUUGCACUUGUAUGGGACGAGUGAUUGUGGAAUGGGUAAGUUGGCCAUAACUUGGCAUCUUUACUUAUAGUGAAAUAAAUAAUUUAAUACGUAGCUAUCUCCCUAGGUCAUGGUAGGUGAUACUAUUAGGGUUUACUUAUUGUAAAUUUCCCAUAAAAAAUCUCUAAGCAUGUUCUCAGGGUUUUGCAUUUUUGAUGAAAUUUCACAGUUAGAAGUUUACCUACUAAUUUAAAUGUCAUGGUCCAAACCAUACUUGCAGCUGCUAGAUAAAAAGCAAUAAGAAUAUAAAAUGUUGACGUGACUUAACUGUGACCACACAAAUAAGAGGGGAUGAGAAUGACACCAUAACAGGAGGGCUGACAAUCUGCCUCCUAUUAGGAAACCAACAGCUUGGAGAAAUUUUAUUAUAUGUCAGACAGAGUCAGAGCUGGUAAAUCAAUAAGUUUGCUUUUGGCAACCACCUAAGUUGUAACUUUAAAUAGGACAAGGAUUGUCUGCCCUCCACUUCCGGUGCCCUCCCCGUGCCCUCCUGUUUUGUGUGGUCACGGUUAAGCCACGUCAACAUUUUAUAGUAUUUUUUUAUAGAUAUAAUAAGAUAAAAAUGAAUAGUAAUAUAAAAUGUUGACGUGGCUUAACCGUGACCACACAAACAGGAGGGCACGGGGAGGGCACCGGAAGUGGAGGGCAGACAAUCCUUGUCCCUUUAAAUAAUAUCUGCUCGUUCUCAAAGAAAAUUAAUAAUUCGUUUUUUUUACUGGCCAUCAGAUUACACGGGAGAAAUCACCACCAUUCAUUUAUUAUAAAUGUGCUGCUGGUUAACUCUUUUCUGUGUUCAAAUUGUGCCGCAUGAUCCGUUAUGUCAUGCAUUCAAAGCAUAUUUAAUAAAACAAAAUCAUCAACUAAGAUGACCAUUACACAUCACUUGUCUCACUAUGUAGUAUUGAAAUAUGUGGUAUAAAAAAUAGUAUAAGUAAACUGUUGCUCUAUUUUUUUUUUGAAUUUGGAGAACAUAUUUUUAUUAAUUAUAAAACUUUUCGACGUAAGACAUGAUUGUGAUUACUUAGACAUAAAGUUAAAAGAAAGAAGCACCGUUUAAUCAAGGAAAGUAAUUAGAAAGUUGGUAAUUCACAAGUUAAAAAAUUGGAUAUCACAAAAGUUUUUAAAACCUUUGGUUUGUUUGGAUAACUUUGAGCUGCAUCGCCUGAAAUUUGGCCCCAUAAAUAUGAAUUUUAAGGGAACAAAAUGAUUUACAAAUGAGUAAGUUUUCGUCCGGAAUAAUAAUGGUGGGACUCCAUGUAGUCGACAAUUUCUCCAAUUAAGAAUUCUGCCAAACGAUUAUGAGUAUUGUAAUACCUCGAAAAUUUAAAUAUAUGAAUUUUAUAUUCAUAAUUGUGAAUAUGUGAAGAAAAUCGAAAUUAAAUCAAUGUACGGUUCCAAAGAUAGAAUUGGGAAAAUUGUAAAGUUUUGUUCUGGGAAUUAUUAUAAUGUACGUAUUCGUGGUAUUGAGAGUUUAUAUUAUUUUUCGGGAAUUUAUAUUAAUUUAUUUGAGCUCAGUUUUAAAAUUAAACUGCUUACGAAGUUUGAAAUUUGGAAAGUAAUUAUUAAAAAAAAAAAUCCGUAGACCUUUCAAGGUCACAAAUUAUAUUUUUGAAUAGAGCUUGAUUUUAUGAACGCGUAGGUGCAAACCAUUCGUGAAACGGAGUUAUAAUGAAGAAGUUAUUAACGUUUAAAAUCAGGGAUAUUUUGGUAAUUUUAAGUUCAUCAAGAAGCCUCUAGAAAUCUGGAGCAAUAUGUUGUGCCACGUGUGUGGCUGUGAUGAAUGUAAAAUAAAUGAUGGAUGGUUGUGAUUAAAAGAAAUGAAUAGAAAGGAGGAAAAGGGGGAAGGAAUUGGGGGGGGGGGGAGGUGACCAAUUGGGAGAGAGAACCGGGAGGAGAAAGGAGAUAAGAGAGAAAUGGAGGAUCGGGACCCGAGUCUUGGUGACCCGACCUGAUCGGCGCCUAUACACAUUUCCGACGGGUUUUCACCUUUUUUCCGGUGAAUUACAUCAAACAACCCCUUGGAAACCACUCCACGACCUUCCCUCUUCCUACUACACCCCAAAAAUAUAUGGAUUUGGACUUUAAAUUGAGAGAAACUGCACGGUGGGGUGCGACGGGUGUGUGUUCUGAUCCACUAAAUUUGAAGCAAACUACAUCCAUCUCCACCACCAUUAAACUCCCCCUGAGGUCUAGAACAAAGCCCAAACAAUGGUAAGGGCGGCGGAGCACCGGAUGUGAGGUUUUGAGUCCACCCAUUUAUAGGGUUUCCGGUAGGUUCGAGGCAAAUUAAAGCCUUUCCAGGCCAAAUUGGACUUGAUCGCAGGUAUAAAGUUUACUCUACUCUUUGAGAUCUUCAUUUCUGUAAUUUUUGAGAAUUUUUAGAAACAGUUAAAUUUUCCGGCGAGCCGGGGCGGCCGACCGCCACCCGCGGCGGCGCACGGUCAGGGAGCCGACGUUGUGUUUCUAUGCGAAUUAUGUUAUUCUAAUUAUGCUUUUGAGACCUAACUGAUGUGGUUUGGAUAUUAAUACGAUUGUGGUAUAUGUUGGAUUAAAUGAAUAUAUUUGGAUUUGGUUUAAAUUUUGGAUAUGUGAACUACGAAUGGCUUGAUCCCUGCUUAGGGUACGUAGGCAGUCUAACGAGACGUUUGAUGCAACCAUACAAUAAGUGAGAUUAAAUAAUCGAGAAUUAAUAUUUAGAUGGAAUUUUGACCUAAGAGAAGGGAAUGGUUCUAAAUUGGAAGUGAAAUUGUAUGUUUUGGUAAAUGAUUAAUGGUUAUGGAUUACGUGGGAUGAAGGAAAUUAUUUGGAGAAUAAUGACUAAUGAUAGUGAAGUCAAAUGUUAAUUUAAAGAUAUGUUUUGACAUUAAAAAUAAAUAAAAAUAUGGAUAGCUUGUAAGAAUUUGAAUUAUUGACUUAGAGGAAUGUGAUUAAUGGAAAUAAAUUAACUAUGAUUUUAAUUUGGGCCUAUCAACAAAAUUAAUCCCCGAAAAUAAAUAUUUCGGGGCCGGGGCAUUACAAGUAUAUUUGAGUCGGUCGAUGAUCACCCAAAGCAGAUGCAACCUUCACUUGGGCGAAGUAACUUGUACAUGAAGUCCAUGGUGACAUCCUCCACUUCCAGACUGAAAUAGGAAGUGGUUAAAACAAAUGGAAUGUUGUAAAAUCGAUUGUGGGUGCAGUGGAAUAAAUGAAACAAGACACAAAAUUUACGAGGUUCCUCUACAGUCAGUGUGACUGGAGUACGUCCUCGGGGCAGCAGUGGUGCUUUCAUUAUAAUUUGAAAUAAUAGGAGUACAAAGAUAACUCUCUCUAUUAUCUCCUCUCAUCUUCCUCUAUUCUCUCUCUUCCUCUUCCUUCCUUCCUCUCUUUCUUUCCCGUGAACUCCCCUCACUUCAUUCCUCUUCUUCCUUUGUAUAAACAAAAGAAAGCACUAUUCACUUUACAAAUUUUCCACAAAUGAAUAGUGAAAAUACUGUGCAUAAAUAGUAACAAACUAUUCAUGUGGACCAUCCACGCACUAUUUACAACACUCCCCCUUGGAUGGCCACAAGUCUUCGAUUGACUCGUUAAAAUCUUGAUCUGUCUUGGAUGCUCUCCUUGAUGAGUAUCUCCCCCUGAUUUCAAAUCAUUUAGGUUGAUCGUUGAUCGUUCUGCUUUAGUCUCUUAGUAAGAAGAGUUGCUGAAAGAGGUGCUUUACUUGUUGUUAACUUUCCACAGGCUUGUUCUUGAACUAGGCUAGAGGACUUUCUGCUAGACUUGCAUCCAAAGGUCUGAAUUUACUCCUUUGAUCUGGAGCAGAUUUGAUUCAAAAGUGGUGGACACUUGAUCUUGAAUCAGACUUGUGAUUUCUUCAAGGACCUCAGAGGCUUGAUCUUGAAUAAAGUUGUACCGUGAAGAGCUUCACGUGGCAAGUGAUCUUCGACUUUGUCGGGGAUGAGUCAACACGUGUUUGUUGCGCUUGUCUCCACAUGCUGCAAUGUAUCAUUUUCACUUUCCUUACUUGCUCCCCUUGCUUAAGUAGUAUUUUCCUUGGUUUUCCCCCAUGCAUGUGUGGCAUAUUCUCCUGCAGUAUUUGCCUUAUGAUGUAGGAGUGGAAUGCAACCCUUGCAUUUGGAUGGUUCAUCACUUCUUGGUGACCGGAGACCCAGUUCUAACAACAAUUGAAGAUGACUACUCGAGAGCUAGGUAAGCAAUCGGGAAAGGUUCCAAGCAGUUUGUUCCUUACCUGGAGUUUAAGUGGAGGUUCCGACAUACUGCUUUCUUUAUCCUUGUCUUUGCAUGUAAGAACAAUGACAAAGGAAAGGACAGAGAGAUUGCAUGAUAUGAGAUAAUCUUGCUCUAGUCCCUGAAGAUAUGUGAUAAUCUUGCUCUGGUGUGACAUGUUUGAAGAGGUAUUCUCGGAAAGGAAGAAAACUGAGUAUUUCGAGAUGCUAUGUUGAAGAUGCAUUCUCGGAGAUGAGGAAGAGUUAGGUAUUCUUGCAGUGUUGCAGGUCUGCCUUGUUAUGGAGAACAGAGGUCGACAUAUAUAGAGAUUUCUCAAUAGCAAGUGGUGGUGCUGUGCUUUUACUCUUGUCAGCAACUGUGGUGUAAAUAGAACAGUAAGAUUUACGCGUUUUCAACUUUGUAAGAGAUCUUUGACAAAAUUGCACGCGACAUCUGAAAAAGCUGGGAUUACGUCUGAAAAAUGCCAACGAACUUUAUUCAGGAAAAUCUGGCUUUUGAAAUUCGGAGAGCGGUGCCUCUUCGAUCUUUGAACGAGUGGCUCUGCUGCCUCUUCUUUUACAGAGACAUCAAUUGUGUUCAAGAGUAUGCUCAGAAAGUUGCUGCCUGUAGAAAUUUCCUCUAUCUUGCACUUCUGAAAUUUUAUUUGACCUCUGUUUUUCCUUCAUCAUUUCUGAAAAAUGAUUUGCCCAUCUAACAUUUGCUUAGAUUUGAGUCUUAGGAGUGAUACAGACGAGCAGCGUCAUGAUAAUAUAUGGCGCCCGUCUUUCUUAUCUUCUAAUGGUCCUCUUACGGUUGGGGACUCUGUGAUGAAGAAUAACAUAACCGCUACUGUGGUAGCUAGGAAUCUUCUCACUCCAAGGGAUAACAAGAUUCAGAACGGUCUGAAGAGUCGACCGUUCAAGACUCCUUGGCUCUCAGUGUUCAGUGUGCUGGCUCUGUGUCCAAUAUGGGCCAACGCUUACUUGCUCAAACUCGCCAAAUUGAAUUAUUGAUGGCGGAGGUGGCAAGUCUUAAACAAGAGAUUAGAGGGCUCAAGCACGAGAAUAGGGUGUUACACGUGCUUGCAAAUAGUUACUCUACGAGCAUGAAAAGAAAGCUCGUCCAACUGCAGGAAUCCGAAAGUCGGAUUCAAAGUGAUCACCAGAGGUUCGUUGCUAGAUUCCGAAAGCAACUGAUGCCUUCCCCUUCUGGUGUUUUGCUAAGUACUGGGGUGCCACAUGAUCAAUCUCCAGUGCCUCCCCCUUCUGGGGUACUUCUGAGUACUGAGGCUUCACAUGAGCAACCUUUGUGAAAGCUCAUCCUGUUUGUUUGUUUUAACUCAUGUGUAUGUAUAUAUCUGUAAUUUCUUGGAGAUAUUAAUAAAUAAGCUUUAUUUCAUUCAAUGUAUUGUGCCAAAUACAAUAAAGCAUAUACUUCACUAAGAUGUGGUACUUCUGGACCAAAUAUUAAUUUAUCUUUACCCUCAUGAAGAUAAAUGAUUAUUCUUAGUGUCUUCAUCAUAUGAGUAUUCAACUCAUAAUCUUCAAUCCAUAUGGUUCUUUUAAUAUCAUAAAUAUCAUGGAUAAGAUUCGUGUUGGUAGAUUGUUCGAUCUGCAGCUCGAGACAAUAAUUCCUUCAACACUUUAUAAUUUUUUCUAGACUCUUCAGGAGUCCCAAUUUAAUAUCAUCAACUCUUCAAGAGUUCUAAUUUUAAUGUCAUUGACUCUUGCAAGAGAUUUUAGUAUGUUGCAACAAUAUUAUAAUGAUAGUACUCACUAAGGCAAUUUUAUAUCAUUCAUUGGUAUUGAGUACAUAUUUUAUGUUUUACCCUUCAGGGGCUUACUUCAAGCAGUUUGAAUCCUUUAGGGAUUUUCUACACUUCAUGACACAUUUUCCUUUGGAAUUUAUACAGAGCAAUUUGCUCCCAUGUAUACUUGAGGGAUUUACUUAUGGAGAUAUGAUGUGAGCGACUCACAACCCUUCGUAUAUAAUUCUCCAUUUAUAUGAACUCGUUUACAAGAGUUCAAUUAGUAAUCUUGUGUCAUAUCAUGUGAGUGUAUUUCACUGUAUUACAAAUGCCCAUAUGUAACCUCCUUGGUUUAACAUCUUUUGGCUAUUUGUAUUUUAUUCAAAUAUAUAGGUCCAUUUUUCCACGUUCUUACAACAUUGUAAUGGAAUUGCCUUUCUCCAUUUUUGGCCAAUAAUUUUCCUUUUGUCGACAAACAAAAGAACGUGACUCAAUAUUAACACAGCUCAUUGAUGAAUUUAGUAGCUACUUGUAAAAACCAAAAUUAUCAUUGGUUAUCAUCAAUCCGUGAUCCCAUAUUCUCAUAUGCAUGCGCAUGCAUAAAAGCUUUUUUUUAUUUCUUUUGGAUAUCCAUUGCCUCUUCAAGGGCAUUAUACUAUCUCUUCCAGGAUAAUCGUAAUUUAGAGAAUUCGGAUCAUAACCUCAUUUUGAGCGUUAUAGAGCUUGGAUUUUAAUCUCCACUUCUAGAAGUUGAGUCAUUGGAACCUAUACGUCUAUCAUGCUACAUGCAAGAGACAUCAAUAUUCCCAUGUCUGCGGAUUGUCCUUUCUAGAACGUAUUAUCCAUGCAGCGACUGUCAAGCUUCUGGCAUGCAACAAUUAUGCUUCAGGAAUGCAAUAGUUCAGUAGUGCCAUAUUCCUUUUUUUUUUUUCGAAUGACUGAACCUUUUGAGUCUAAAGGUCUGCCACGCUUCAGACGUGCAACAGAUAAAUCAUUUACUGCCUCAUUAUAUUGUCCAAUGAGGACAUCAAUUCUUGUAGGCACAUUUGCAGUAAGUAUAUGUGAUUUCAUCACUUUCGUUGCAUCAUUCAAUUAUUCCAAUUUCAUUUUCUCAUUGUUUGUUUCGUGAAUCAAAAUAAGACAAAUUAUCUUCGUUCUUCUGGAACGGUCUUUUCUCAUCAUUCUUCUGGAAUGAUAUUUUCUCAUCGUUCUUCUGGAACGAUGUUAUUUUCUCCCCCUAAUGGCAGGAAAACUGUCUUAUCAAAAUCAUAGUCCGCAAAUCAUGCGGUAGACAUAUCCCCAGUCAAGGGUUCCAAAUAUUGAAUGAUAGAUGGUGUUCAACAUCAAUGCCUAAUCUACGAUGAUGCCUCAUUUCAGUAUGUUGUGGCAGUCUUACAGGCACAUAGAUAACACAACCAAAAACUCGUAAAUGUAUAAUGUUUGGCUAGUUCCCAAACACGAGUUGUACUGAGCAAUAUUGAUGGUUGGAAACUGGUCUCAUCCGAACUUAAUAAUGCGUCAUGUAAAAUGACAUGUCCCCAUGUAGAAAACUGGUAAUUUCGUUUUCAUGAGCAGAGCGCGGGUAAUCAAUUUCAUCCGCUUAAUAAAUGCUUCUGCUAAACCAUUUUAAGUAUGGACAUAAGGAACUUCUGGUCCUUAUUAAAUAGUCUAUGGACUGAGACUUUUAUGACCUUUAUUAUAAUUAAGUUGAGGCACUGUGGCACUUCAAACUUAAGGUACUCAUCAAGGAAUUUCAUGUCCUGAUCUUCAUGAUCAAGGGACUUCAUGCCUGAUCUUUUUGUAUGAUGGAACUUCGGGUCCAAUCAUUUUAUAUGAUGAGGAUCAAGAAACUGCAGGUUCUGAUCUGAUCAAGGAACUUUGGGUCUUAUAUAUACUCAUUGUAACAAAAGAUAAGUACAAUAAAUAAAUUAAAGCAAUAGGCGGUAAUUCCAGCCAUAGUAAAUAAAUUGAACAAUAAAUAAAUUAAAGCUUGUGACAAGGGCUUUAAUUCAGCACCAUUCACAUAAAUCAAAACUUAAAGCAGUAGGCGGUAAAACCGUCCAUGAUAAAUAAAUUGUUUUAAAGUAAAUAGAACUUGUGACAUGGGCUUUAAACCAACACCAUGCACAUAAAUAUCAAAGCUUUAAAGCAAAGGGUAAUAAUUCUACCCACUGUAAAUAAAUUGCUUUAAAUAAAUAGAACUUGUGAAAGUGUUUUAAGCCAACACCAUUCACAUAAAUAAAUCAAAACUUAAAGCAGUAGGCGGUAAAACCGUCCAUGAUAAAUAAAUUGUUUUAAAGUAAAUAGAACUUGUGACAUGGGCUUUAAACCAACACCCAUGCACAUAAAUAUCAAAGCUUUAAAGCAAAGGGUAAUAAUUCUACCCACUGUAAAUAAAUUGCUUUAAAUAAAUAGAACUUGUGAAAGUGUUUUAAGCCAACACCAUUCACAUAAAUAAAUCAAAACUUAAAGCAGUAGGCGGUAAAACCGUCCAUGAUAAAUAAAUUGUUUUAAAGUAAAUAGAACUUGUGACAUGGGCUUUAAACCAACACCAUGCACAUAAAUAUCAAAGCUUUAAAGCAAAGGGUAAUAAUUCUACCCACUAUAAAUAAAUUGCUUUAAAUAAAUAGAACUUGUGAAAGUGUUUUAAGCCAACACCAUUCACAUAAAUAAAUAUAUACAUAUUUUCUUCUUUCUUUUCAGAUGGUGUAACACCAUCCAAAAACCUUUACCUUUAUUUUAUUUUAUUAUUUUCUUAUUCAAUCACAUGCUACAACAUUCCAACAACUUUUGUUUUUAUUUCUUUUAUUUUACAUGGUGCAACGCACCUUUCUAAAUCAUUGGCCCCAUUUCCCCUUUUCUUUGUCUAUCUCUACCAGUCUCGAAACCUAGUACCAGCUGGGUUGUUGUGGGAGUUACACAAAACCAAUUCAAUCCAAAAAGGCUACCAGAGACUGGCGUUGUUCUUGCAUGGCCCAAAGAACAUGGCAUCGCAAAGCAAGAACCUCUCCAUAGAGACAUAGAUGACAGUGAGGUUGACGAAGGCAUAAGAGAGGGAGGCCUGUGUGGGGUUAGUCAUGCCAUCACCAUCUCAGACAACUGAGGAUUCAUGGAGGUCCUCGAGAUCCAUUGACACGAUCUGGGUUUCCAAAUCUAAUGAGAUUCUUCUGGAUCUCUGGAAACCAGUUGUCAGGUACGAGUUUUCUUAUCUCGUGACGACUUUAGGUCGUUGGAAAUUUCAAUUCGCACCGGAAUUCGGUGGGGCGCUUCUGGCGCGGUGGGAGAAACAAAAAAUGGACAUACCUUUGCUUGUUUUGCUGCACCUUUGUUUGUCUGUAAGAUCUCUCCAUCUUUCUUGUCCACGAGAGAAAAAUAGAUUGCAGGUCUAGCAGGGAUAAGGAUUAGCACAUCAAUAGUUAGAGUGAUAAAAGAAAAAGUGAUAAAAGAAAGGUUGAUGGAUUUUUGUGACAAGAUGAUCUUCCCUGUUUGACAUGUCUGGCUUGCCGUCUCUACUCUGUGAGAUUUUAGCUGACCGAGGUGAGAGGUAGAUAAUGCUUCACCAGAUUUAUGAUAUUGUGCUUUCCACUGACAUGAGAGAUUCUCGUGCUGAUAACGUGUUGUAAAAUCGACUGUGGGUGCAGUGGAAUAAAUGAAACAAGACACAAAAUUUACGAGAUUCCUCUACAGUCAGUGUGACUGGAGUACGUCCUCGGGGCAGCAGUGGUGCUUUCAUUAUAAUUUGAAAUAAUAGGAGUACAAAGAUAACUCUCUCUAUUAUCUCCUCUCAUCUUCCUCUAUUCUCUCUCUUCCUCUUCCUUCCUUCCUCUCUUUCUUUCCCGUGAACUCCCCUCACUUCAUUCCUCUUCUUCCUUUAUAUAAACAAAAGAAAGCACUAUUCACUUUACAAAUUUUCCACAAAUGAAUAGUGAAAAUACUGUGCAUAAAUAGUAACAAACUAUUCAUGUGGACCAUCCACGCACUAUUUACAACAUGGAAUGAUUUUUGUCUCUUAGCUUUCACUGCUGACAUUCACGCAUCAUCUGCUUCCCUGGAGUCUUAAAACACUCGUGUUUUGCCCGUGAGAAAAAAGUGAUUGUCACAAAUCAGUCUAGAUUCUAAGCUCCUAAAUUAGGAAUCAUAAAAUUAGUUUGAAAAAUCUAAGCUAUGGUACCAAACUGACGCACUCUAACCUAGAUAUUCAGUGUAAUGAACCAUUAAAUAAAUGUAUGUAAUGGAAGCCAGAGCAUCUAAAUAUCUAUAACGAAAGUAUACCAUGUAAUAUAUCUGAAGAUGUUAAGAAAAAAUUAUGAAAUUAAUCCCUACAUGAUGAGGGAGGAUUAUACCAUCAGCCAACGACAUCAAGAGCUCCAAAGCCUACUAAACUUGGAGGGGAAAAAAAGUUAAAGUGAGUGGGCAAAAGAAUUAUGAAAAUCUAUUGUCUCGUUCGAACAUACUAACCCGUCCCUAUAAAAACUCGUAUAAUAAUCGAAAACAUACUACAUAGCUAGUAUGGAAAGCCAAGCAUUAAUGUAGAAACAGUUAUUUCGAGAAACAAGUAGAAGUCACAAUUUCAAAAUAUCUCACUGUGAAACUGUAAUAAAUACUAAAAUACCAUGGCAUUAGUGAAAACUAAUAUUUCACGUGAGCAGGUAAAUCACAAAUCAUCAACAAAACAUAUAUGGUAUGAACACCAAAUAAUGCAAAUGUGCGAGCUCAUUCAGAAAUAUUCUAACGUGAACAUACUGGGUGUAUAUAUCUACGUUUUAGUACUAUACAUGUGAAGUUGGCGCUUAGCAUAUCGCAUACGAUACCUAGUUGCCAAAUGCAAACUAUAAAGGUUAACACCGACAAUGGAUCCAAUGUGAACGUAAGUUACGUAACGGUGCAUAUGAACAUACAUGUAAGUUGGUCCUGAACAAUACUAUUGACACUAUAUAAGUAUACAUGAUGAACGGACAAAUCAUAUGAAAACAUUCCAUGAAUAAUUUCUCAAAUCAUAAUAUCGCAUAAAGUAUUUCAUAAUAUCAAAACAUGCUAAAGUGAGGUUCUCAAGAUUAUAAAUCGCAUCACCAUCAACACAUAAAACAUUUGCACCUUCUAAAAAAGGGCAUGAAAUCAAAGCAUAUCAUAAAACCAAUUUUGAAAACAUAUAAGUAUAGUAUAGUUUAAAAAGCAAAACCCGCUCAAACACUGUAUGAUUGUUAUUGUCUUGCCCUGCACGCUCUUUGUAAUUGCGAGACCAACCCUAAAGUGAAAUAACCCAUACUUAGUAAAUAAAUUGAAAACUACAAAGAUUACUGACGAAUGAGUCCUGAACUACUAUUUCGGGCGUUCGAAAAACUCAUGUUUACCGUAGUGCGCCGCCGCACGCACCGAUCAGGGUUGGUAUAAACAUUUUGAAGGUCCUAGGCAAAAAUAAAAAUAGGACCCACAAACCUACAAUACACACAAAAAAUUAUGUUUUUCAUGUGAUUUUUUUUCUUAGGUAUUUGAAUUUUCAAUAAUUUGAAUAAGUAUUUUUCUUUGUCGGAUAAUAAGUUCGUCAUAUAUAGAAAAACAAAGUUACAUUGUAAAAGUGGUCAUAAAGAAAAGAAGAUUGUCAUAUGGUAAAAAUACUAGUCAAUCGAACAAUACUUGACGUCUAAAGUGUCUAAGCAAGGGACUUUAACAAGGUAAUUUUCUGAGCAAAAGCCUAGUAGAUUUGGUAGAAGUGAAAGCUCCAAUUUUUGUAGUUGCGUGAAAGUGAUCUCAUUUUCUAAAUAAUCUUUGUGCUUGCCAAAUUAAAUUGGUAAAGACAUACAUACAUUAUUUUGUUGAAUGUUAAAUUUGAAUUGGAAUGGAUAUAAAAAAUAUGCGUCUCUAGUUAACCUUCUAGAUGAAUUAACCAAAAUUUAGUAAUUAUAAUCAAAGGUAAAAGAAAUUAACAAUCAAACAAAAAUUAGUAAAAAAUAGAAAGAAAAAGGCGUAAGACUUAUUUGAACCCGGGACCUCAUAAUUACUAAAAACCAAUGGCACCAGCGCCUAUAGUUAACCCUCUUGUUGAAUUAACAAAAUUUUGUUAAAAAUAAGUAUAUAAAUGAAAUUAACAAUCAAACAAAAAUAAGUAAAAAAAAGAAAAAAAGGGGCAUAGGUUUUGAACUUCUACUGUGACACGAGGUUCUCUCUCUCUCUCUCUCUCUCUCUCUCUCUAUUGAAUGGCAAUCAUGGUCCUGCCUUCAGUUACGAUGAUAUGGUCUGUGGUGCUUCCAGUAUUCAAUUCUGAACUCUCUAUCCAUAUAUUCAUAUCCACAACAUGGGUAGCCGCAUACAUAGACACAUGAACACUUAAUAAUGGGCUCAUUUAGAGUUUAAAUGUUGUACGUGAAAGCGUUACAAUUCGUAAUCACAUCAUAUCAGGACUUGUUGACAUGAAUUCAACACACAACAACAAAACAAGGGGCCGUAAACAUGUUUUAUAUUACAAGCUACGUGGAUCAAAUAUGUGUUAACGAGUUACACAAUCACGUACACAAAAUGUGUUAUUUUUUAGUUAGGCAGAUUGACACGAUAGACGAAUUUGUUUAUUAACCGUGUCAACCCAUUUGGCACGAUUAUGAUCAACAUAAGCCCGAUUAUUUCACAUCUUUUUUUAUAUAGAUUGUCGUGUUGUUUCCAAAAUUAACACCCCGUACAUAUACGUAUAUAGACAAUCUUGCAUGGAUAUGAAACAUUGUGUCUUUGUACAUUUGUAUGUAAACAAAUUUAGGGUAAUCAUUGGGAAUGUGAAAUAAUACAAAGAAAAAAAAGUGAAGAAAUUAAAAACAAGACAGAUGGCCAUGCCGGUUGCUGCUGCCCUAGCUAGAAGCUCCACGAGUGGAAUUUUUGAGCCUUAGAACAUGGGUUAAUUAAAAGGAAAACUAAUGAAAAAGGUUUGAAAACUUUAAGUUUUAACAAUAAGGAUAAAAUAAAGGGUAAAGUAAAUAGUACCAGGAUUGACUUUUUAGUGUAAAAAUGUGGUUUUUCGUUAAAGUGAAUAAUACUGUGAGCUUUUCGUUAAAGUUCCCUUAAUUAAAUUCUCUCAAAAGUGAGUCAGAGAGAGAGAGAGAGAGACAGAGUAGUACUGCUGUAACAAGUGGUGCUCAUUUUAUGAGGAAUACAUGUCUUUAACUUAGCAGCUCCUUCUGCAUAUGUAUGGUCUGAUUUUUGGUUUUAUCAAGAAGGUAACAUGGGGAGACUUAAAUGGUGAGGCAUUUCCGGAACUCAAUGCAGCCUAUGGAACUCAAGUUGAACAUGUGCUCCUUACAAAUUAUCUGUCACAAAAUUCUUGUAUGUAUGAACUCAUCUGCAAAGUUUAAAAAUUAUAUAUAUAUUUUUAUUUUUGUGUUUUAAUUUUAUGGUUGUCAAUGAGUUUCAGUUCCACAAGGCAGCAAGCAACACCAAAAAUGUGUGACUGUGACAAGUUUGCUCCCCGUUUUUACGGCGUAGGGCAACUGGGCUGACCUAAGGAGGAUGUCGAGGGAAGGUUGCCCUUAACCUGUUGGGCAUAUGGAUGUUUGGUAUCUUGCUAUUUCUGUUACUUUGUGUACAUGACAAGCAUAGAAAAAACGGUGAGACAAAUAUGUGUUCAUUUGGUCCCCUAUCGAGGAGGUCGAGGAGAUCCUUACAUAUUUUCGAAUCCUUAUAGCACUCAGUCACGUGGUGAGUGUUGUAGGAAUAUAAGAUUAUAUAUCGAUGACACUCAAGUUUUUACAUAACUAGACAGGAACUAUGAUGUCUUAUGGCACACCUUGAAUCUUAAACAAAAGGCUUUAUAACCAUUCCCCUCACUUGUGGGGGCAGUUUGUCCUUAAACCGUAGUAUAUAAACAUUCAUUGUUAAAUUAUUAAUCACUUGCUGUAUAGGUUUCAUUUGAAUAUUGUUGGUGAAUGAUCUCCAUUUGUCCGAACUCCGGUGAACUUUUAACUAGAAAUGUUUUAUAUCAAGCAUGGUGAUUUAAUCUGUAGGCUACGUGAAGUUUAAUCGGCUCCUGUUUUCUCAGCAUUUGUGGUGGCUUCUAAACAAGUCUAAUUAUUAGAGAAAGACUUGCAUGAAAGGGAGAGAUGACGGGGCAGCAAUGUCCCAAAUCUAUAACAUGCUGUCAUGUGUUUUAAUUUUUCACUUGACAUUAUAUGGUUGAUUUAAGACACCGUCAUCUUGACGUUUCUAUUAUAUGCGAAUCCUACCUGUUUGAUAAUCAUUUCGUUUUCAUCAUUGUUAACUUAGUUUGAAAGCUAUUUUUUAUUUUAUUUUUAGAAUUUGAUUAAAAACUAAAAUAAUUACCAAAUGAGUAAAAAAAAAAAAAAAAAAAAAUUAUCAACCGACUCUAAAUUAAUAAUUAAAAAAGUGAAAAAACAAACAAAUUCGAAAUCCCGCUUAAAAUAAACAGAGGCAAACGAACUAAAACCCUAACCCCUCUUUACUCCUCCAAUUUUCCCCUUCGGAAACCUAAGUGCAAGGGAAUUGCAAUACCAAUUGGCAAAUAUGCCCAAUUGAAAAACCCUUUUCUGCUUUAUUCGACGAACUACUUGUUUGGAUUCCUUUGUUUAAAUUGGAAAACGAAAAGCUUGACAUUUUCUCACAAUGUCAGUGAGAAAAGCAGGUGAAACUGAACCGCCUCAGCCGGAGGAGGGUGGCGGCUCCGCCCAACUGUCGCAGCCAGUCCGAACUUCAAAGCCUGCAGAAGAAGAAGACAAGAAGGUAGUGCAUUCUUCUGCUGUUCGUUCUUAACAUUUGGGUUCAAUUUUUUUUGGUUUUAAAUUUGUAAAUUAGCUCAAUAAUUUAGUGGGUUUCUUGUGAACGACAACUAAGAAGCUGAAAGUUUUGAACUUUUCUUCUUUUUCCGUGCGCAAAUUGGCCUUUUGCUGUUUAUUUCUGCAAUUUGUAGAUUUUUAGUUCAUUGACUUUGAGGGAGCAACUGGAAGGGGCGAAAGAUUUAUAUUUGUUGGUUCCAUAUAUUUGAAUGCCGCUUAAUUUUCAUUUUUCGAUGUAAUUGCAUAACAUCUCUGAUGAUUUUUUUUUCGUUUCGGUUAUCAAAGAGCACAAGCAGGAGACUGAAGGAUGUUGAUAUAUGUGUGCCAAUUGUAUACGGGACAGUUGCGUUCUACCUCGGUAGGAAGGCCAGUGAGUAAGUAUUUAUAUUUGAUUGGGUCCUCGUUUAUGCCUUUUUUUGUGUGUUUUGAAUAAUUUCCGCCUAUGUUUUCCGUUAAUUAGGUCUCAGUCCCAUAAGUGGACGGUUUAUGUUCGUGGGGCAACAAACGAGGACCUUGGGGUGGUGGUAAAGCGAGUUAUAUUUCAAUUGCAUCCUAGUUUCAAUAACCCUAUGAGAGUGAUUGAUUCGCCCCCAUUUGAGUUAACGGAAUGUGGUUGGGGUGAAUUUGAAAUUUCCAUCAGUCUGUUCUUCCACAAUGAUGUCUGUGAGAGACAGUUAGACUUGUAAGUUGCGUAUUCUGAUAUUGAUUUCGUCUACUUGAAAACCUUCACAAGAUAGUACAAUAAUUACCUGAGCUCAUAUCAUGCAGGUAUCACCAUUUGAAGUUAUAUACUGAAGAUGAAUCUGGGCCCCAGUCAACCAAGAAACCUGUUGUUGUGGAGUCUUACGAUGAAAUAGUUUUCCCUGAUCCUUUAGAGGCCUGUUUUGCUUGUGUGCAGAACCAUCCAGCUGUUAUAGUGCCCCGUUUACCUGCUGGUUUCAACUUGCCUAAUCCUGGUAAAUUUUAUAGCUUUGGUAUCUUUUUGAUAUCAUUUUGAACCUUCACUUCUUAUAAUCCGUUGAUUUUAAAUGUCUUACAUGGAUUUUUUUUCAGUGCCGAUUGAUCAGAAGAAUGACAGGGAACGAGGGGACAUGAAGGAACAUCCCCAUGGUCAGUGGUUCUUAAAUUUUUCAGAGGCAGAUGAGCUCUUAAAACAUGCAGCGGCUCGUCAAGAGGUUAGAAUUAGUAGCUGCGUUCUCUUUUUUUUUUUUAACUAAUCAGUGUGGUGAAUGCUGUAAGUUUUAUUCUGUGUUGGUGCAUUGUACAAUGCUAAUAGUUUUUUGUUUUGGUCUCGUUGUAAACUGCUAAUGCUUUGGAACUAACAUAUUCUCAAAUUUUUUCCUCUCCCCCCCCCGACCUAAUAUGGCCUUUCCUUUUUCUUUUUAACCUUUUUUAAUGUAAGAGCCUAUAUGAUCAUGCAAAUUGUGGUCAUGUUUAGGGUACUGCUUUAUAAGAUUACUUACUAGAGAUUACGUUCUAUUACUAGUUUCUAUUGGGCUGGUGAUUAUGAUCUGUUUCUCUUCCCUUAUAGUAACUCCGCCGUGUAAGUUUAUCUUACAUUGCCGGUCCCAAGCCCGGAUAAAGGAGGAGGGGGAGGGCGUCAGGUAGUCGACAGCCGGCACUCCAUGAUCACGUCGAAUCCUUAUGAAAAUGAAUCCAGAACGAAAUCGCGCUAAAGCUAGGGCGUCACCCGUAAGUGGCGCGCUGUGUGGCCUGAGCACAGUGAUAAGUGAGCAAGGGUCGCUGUAUCUCCAUCGGCACCCGGAUACAGUGUUAAAUGAGCAAGGGGGCUAUAGAAACUUCUUUUCGAACGACUCCACUCAAAGUUGUUUGGGAGCAUAUGCUCCUAUCAACUUUACACGGGACACACAAAAGAAGUACUUUGAUCCUAUUAGACGGGGAAGGGUGAAGAAGCUAGGACAGAAGGGUAGAGUUCAAGAGAGCAAAAUGCGUUUAGGAACGUGGAAUAUAGGAACCUUAACGGGAAAAUCUAUGGAAGUAGUGGAAGUUAUGGUGAGGAGAAGGAUAAAUAUUAUGUGCCUACAAGAAACUAAGUGGGUUGGUCGUAAGGCAAAGGAUCUAGAAAACUCAGGGUUUAAACUUUGGUAUUCGGGCACAAAUAGAACGAGAAACGGUGUUGGCAUCAUCGUGGACAAGACCUUGACACAAGAUGUUGUAGAUGUCAAGAGGGUAGGAGAUAGAAUCAUGGCAAUCAAGAUUGUAAUAGGACAAGAACUUAUCAAUGUGAUUAGUGCGUACGCACCUCAAGUAGGGUUGGAUACGAGUUCGAAGGAGAAAUUUUGGGAAGACCUUGGAGACUUGGUGCAAGGAAUUGCUCAGACGGAGAAGUUAUUUAUAGGAGGAGAUUUAAAUGGACACGUGGGCAGGGAGACAGGCAACUAUGGAGGUUUUCAUGGUGGCCAUGGUUUUGGGGAGAGAAACGAGGAUGGGGAAGCUAUCUUGGAUUUUGCAAUGGCAUAUGAUCUCUUCUUAGCCAACACCUUCUUUAAGAAGAGAGAAGAACAUGUGAUCACCUACAAGAGUGGGUCGUCAAAAAACACAAAUAGAUUUUCUUCUAAUGAGGAAAGGGGAUCGUAUAACUUGUAAGGAUUGCAAAGUUAUACCAGGAGAGAGCGUGGCUAAUCAACAUCGCUUGUUGGUGAUGGAUGUACAUAUCAAAAGAGUGAGAAAAAAAGAACAAGACUUGGAAGUGCCCAAGGACUAGAUGGUGGAAUCUAAAAGAAGAAAAACAAGCCAUUUUCAAAGAGAAAGGUAAUCACCCAGUGUGUGUGGGAUAGAGAGGGGGAAGCUAGCCAAAUGUGGGAUUCCAUGGCUAGUUGUAUCCGAAAAGUAGCAAAAGAGGUAUUAGGAGAGUCCAAGGGCUUUGCCCCACACCAAAAGGAAUCUUGGUGGUGGAAUGAGGAGGUACAAACAAAGGUGAAGGCUAAGAAGGAAUGUUGUAAAGCCUUAUACAAGGAUAGGACCGAUGAAAAUGGUGAAAGGUAUAGAAAAGCGAAGCAAGAGGCGAAGAAAGCUGUGAGAGAAGCUAAGUUAGCGGCUUAUGACGAUAUGUAUAAACGACUAGAUACCAAAGAAGGAGAGUUGGAUAUCUAUAAACUAGCUAGAGCAAGGGAAAAGAAGACAAGGGACCUAAACCAAGUGAGGUGCAUCAAGGAUGAGGAUGGAAAGGUUCUUGCUACAGAGAACGCGGUUAAAGACAGAUGGAGAGGUUAUUUUCAUAAUCUUUUCAAUGAAGGACAUGAAAUGGAGUGCUUCUUUAGGGGAGUUGAGUAACUCAGAAGAGUGUAGAAACUACUCUUUUUAUCGUCGAAUCCGGAAGGAAGAAGUGGUUGUAGCUUUGAAGAAGAUGAAGCAUAGAAAAGCAGUAGGCCCAGACGAUAUACCAAUCGAAGUGUGGAAAGUUUUGGGAGAGACAGGUAUAACAUGGCUCACUGACCUUUUCAAUAGGAUUUUGAAAACGAAGAAGAUGCCAAAUGAGUGGCGAACGAGCACUUUGGUGCCUAUCUACAAGAAUAAGGGCGACGUACAAAAUUGCAUGAACUAUAGGGGUAUUAAGCUAAUGAGUCAUACAAUGAAGCUCUGGGAGAGAGUCAUUGAGCAUAGAUUGAGGCAAGAGACACGGGUUUCGGACAACCAAUUCGGGUUCAUGCCAGGGCGCUCAACCAUGGAGGCAAUCUAUCUCUUACGAAGAUUGAUGGAAAGAUAUAGAGAUGGGAAAAAGGAUUUACACAUGGUCUUUAUAGAUUUGGAAAAAGCGUAUGAUAGGGUCCCAAGAGACAUUCUUUGGAGGAUUUUAGAGAAGAAAGGAGUACGAGUAGCAUAUAUCCAAGCUAUAAAGGAUAUGUAUGAAGGAGCAAAGACUGCCGUAAGAACUCAUGAAGGACAAACCGAAAGCUUUCCCAUAACUGUAGGAUUACAUCAAGGCUCAUCCUUAAGUCCUUACCUUUUUUGCGUUGGUAAUGGAUGAGUUAACAGGACAUAUUCAAGAUGAUAUUCCUUGGUGUAUGCUUUUCGCAGACGAUAUAGUGUUGAUAGAUGAAACUCAGGAAGGGGUAAAUGCAAAGCUUAACCUUUGGAGAGAAGUGUUGGAAUCUAAAGGUCUUCGCCUAAGCCGAUCAAAGACAGAAUAUAUGGAGUGCAAGUUCAGUGCAAAUGGAGGCCAAAACGAGUUAGGGGUGAGGAUCGGAGAUCAAGAAAUACCAAAGAGCGACCGUUUUCGUUACCUAGGAUCUAUCUUGCAAAAGAACGGAGAAUUAGAUGGAGAUCUCAACCAUAGAAUACAAGCUGGAUGGAUGAAGUGGAAGAGUGCAUCCGGCGUGUUGUGUGACCGCCGUAUGCCACUGAAGCUCAAGGGAAAAUUUUAUAGGACGGCAAUAAGGCCGGCGAUGCUGUAUGGCACAGAAUGUUGGGCGGUGAAGCAUCAACACGUACACAAAAUGGGUGUAGCGGAGAUGAGGAUGCUUCGUUGGAUGUGUGGGCACACGAGAAAGGAUAAGAUUAGGAAUGAGGAUAUCCGGGGUAAAGUAGGAGUAGCCGAAAUUGAAGGAAAGAUGAGAGAAAAUCGGUUACGGUGGUUUGGACAUGUGCAAAGAAGGCCUACUGACGCUCCGAUUAGAAGAUGCGACUAUGGGACAGAGGUUCAGGGCCGAAGGGGUAGAGGAAGACCUAGGAAAACUUUGGAAGAGACUCUAAGAAAAGACUUAGAGUACUUGGAUCUAACGGAGGACAUGACACAGGACAGAGCACAAUGGCGUUCUAAGAUUCAUAUAGCCGAUCCCACUCAGUGACUUGGAUUUUCCAAGUCUCCAACCGAGAAGUUUUCCUCACUCGGGAAAUUAAGGGAACACUACCUCAACCUACAUGCUCCACUCACAAAGCUUCAACAUACAAGCUUCAACAAAAGAAAAUUCAAAGAACUUAGCGAAGAAGGCUUUGGUGUAUUUAACACAAUACGUUGAAAUGAAGGAAAGCUUAUUUAUUGAUAUCCCCGAUAAGUUACAAAUAUGUACAUAUACAUUGAGUCAAAAUAAACAAACAAGAGGGAGCCUUCACAAAGGUUGCUUAGGAGAAGUCUCAGCAGUCGGUAGAGCCCCAGAAAGAGAAGGCACCGGAGGGGGAUCAUUCGGAGCCUCAGUACUGGACAGAACCCUAGAAGGAGGAGGCAUCAGAGGUUGAUCAUUUGGAGCUUCAUUACGCGGUACAGCCCCAGAAGACGAAGGCAAUAAAUGCCUUUGGAACAAACCCACAAAUCUCUGAUGAUCAAGUAAAACCUGACCAUCAGAUUCCUUCAUCUGGUCAAGCUUCCUCUUCAUGUUUGUAGCAUAGUCAUGUGCGAGCCGGUGCAACUGUUUAUUCUCAUGCUUGAGCCCUCUAAUCUCCUGUUUGAGACUCAUCACUUCAGCCGCCAAUGAUUCAACUUGGCGGGUUCGAGCAAAUAGGCGUUGGGCCAUAUUAGACACAGAACCUGCACACUGAACACUGAGAGCCAGAGAAUCCUUAACAGCUAACUCAUCAGACCGUUUGGAAAGUAGUCUGUUAUCUUUGGGAGUGAGAAGGUUCCUGGCCACCACCGCAGCGGUCAUAUCAUUCUUCAUCACGGAAUCCCCAACGGUAAGAGGACCAGUAGGGGAGACGAAGGAUGGGCGCCAUAUGUUGUCUGGAGAAGGCGGGGCUGCCUCUUCAACAAGGUUCAAGUCAAAACGACGGUCGGAGGGGCCAGACAUUUUCAAAGGUGUUGAAGAGAGAAGAGGUCGGACAAAUCAAGAUCUUAGAAGUGCAAGAAUGGAGCUUCUACUGGUGGAGAUUCAAGUGUGCUUUGGAACUUAAUGUCCAGCCCCUAUAAAAAUCUGCACUCGACGAAGCUUCAGAAAUCGAAGAGGCGCCUGCUCAGAAAUCGAAGAGGCGUUUGCUUUCUCAAAAGCUGGGCUGCUCAGAGACCACGAGGGUCGAUCUCAGAAAUCGAAGAGGCGUUUGCUUUCUCAAAAGCUGGGCUGCUCAAAGACCACGAAGGCCGAUCUCAGAAAUCGAAGAGGCUUGCUUUCUCAAAAGCUGGGCUGCUCAGAGACCACGAGGGCCGAUCUCAGAAAUCGAAGAGGCACCUACUUUUCCAGCCUUGUCAGCACCUGUCACACGCACACUCAGCUUUGCGGAAAUUAUGGGCAUUCUGUCGAAGAUUUUCUGGCGAAGUAGAAAGCACAUGAAUCGUUACUGUUCAAUCACCCACUUCCCACACGCAACAGUAGCUCAUGGGUACCACAGAUAACUUUGCCAAAGUUCUCUGACAAAGUUGAGACACGUGAAGCUUGCAGCUCCCACUACAUCGCUCUGACCAAGAAGGGUAAAAGAAUAGCAAAGAAAACAACACUAACAAAGUUUAGACACAUAAAUUUUGAAGGUCUAGCUACCAUAUUAUUACCCACAAGGGUAAAGGAACAGUACCACUGCUGGAUAAUUGGAAAGUCCCGGUGUGUCAACCUCUGUGCUUCGUGGCAAGGUAGACUAGCAAACAUGCCCAACCUUUACUCACAUUCGAGAAAACACUCCCAACAAGAUUGCUUGCUCCAAAAUCGAAGAGGCACCGCCCUCCGAAUCUCGAGAGCCAGACUCCCAACAUGAUUACUUUCUCAAAAAUCGAAGAGAGGGUAAAGGAACAGUACCACUGCUGGAUAAUUGGAAAGUCCCUGUGUGUCAACCUUUGUGCUUCGUGGCAAGGUAGACUAGCAAACAUGCCCAACCUUUACUCACAUUCGAGAAAACACUCCCAACAAGAUUGCUUGCUCCAAAAUCGAAGAGGCACCGCCCUCCGAAUCUCGAGAGCCAGACUCCCAACAUGAUUACUUUCUCAAAAAUCGAAGAGAGGGUAAAGGAACAGUACCACUGCUGGAUAAUUGGAAAGUCCCUGUGUGUCAACCUCUGUGCUUCGUGGCAAGGUAGACUAGCAAACAUGCCCAACCUUUACUCACAUUCGAGAAAACACUCCCAACAAGAUUGCUUGCUCCAAAAUCGAAGAGGCACCGCCCUCCGAAUCUCGAGAGCCAGACUCCCAACAUGAUUACUUUCUCAAAAAUCGAAGAGACACCGCUCUCCGAAUCUCGAGAGCCAGACCCCCAGCAGGAUUGCUUUCUCAAAAAUCGAAGAGGCAUCGUUCUCCGAAUCUCGAGAGCCAGACCCAUUGACAAGGUUCUGUAAUCUUCACACGCAACAUCAGCUUUCCAGAUACCACAGACCACUUUUUCAAAGUGCUCUGACAGAGUUAAAACAUGUGAAGCUGGCAGCUCCCACUACCGUGCUAUGACCAAGCAGGGUAAAGGAAUAGCAUUAUUACUUGAUGUUAGGGAGACUCCUAUAUAUGUCGACCUCCAUCCCCAACGGACAGGCAGACCUGCAAAAAUGCUCAACCCUUCCUCUUAUCUGAGAGGGCACUCCCAACGAAGCCUUUCGAAAUAUUCAGCUUUCUUUCCCCCCGAUAAUACCUCUGUAAACAAGCUAUACUAGAGCAAGAAUAUCUCAUAUCAUCAGGGUUAAAAGCAAGAGUAUCCCAUAUCAUGCUUUUUUCCCUGUCUUUUCCUUUGGCCUUGUUCUUACCUGCAAGACAAGGAGAAAGAGAGCAAUCAGUCAGCACUUGGAAUCAAGCUUCCAGCCAGGAACUGACUGCCUGGAACCCCUUACCUGAUUACUUACCUGGCAUUGCUCUCGAGUACUCAUCUUCAACAUCUUAUGCUUCCAGGGAAGAUACCGCAUCUGCCUGAGGAACAGAUAGGGCAAGUGAGAAGGAUACAAGGAAGCAUGUGGAGACAAGCGUAACAGCACACGUGCCGAUACAUCCACUACUCUGUCAAAAGCAAAAGUAUCCCAUAUCAGCAGGGUCGAACGUACUCUAGAUUUGAUGGACUUGUUUUGACCCUCAAAUUCUUCAGUCGGCCUUAUACUCUGGAGGAAACCAGAAAACCCUCCAGCCCAGUUCAAGAAUAAGCCUGUGGAAAGUUACUUCUUCAAAAGCAAAAGUAUCCCAUAUCAUCUCUUCUCAUUUUUCUUCUCUUUAUCCUUCAUGCUGCCUGCAAGAUAGGGAGAAUGUGAACAAUCAGUCCGGAGCUCUGAUUGCUUACCUUGUCUGUCACCUCUUUCAGCAGAUCCCCUAGCUCGGCGACUUGGGGGACUCCUACUACAUGGUUUGUAUCGCGCUUGACCAAGCCUGAAACUACAAGUAAGCUUCAAGUGAAAUUGAUACAUUACCUUGUGCAUCUCCACCAGUUACAAGAUACCACCCCUGGAUGGAGGAAGAGUACUUCCAGAGAAGAUGCCACAUCUACCUAUGAGACAGAUAAGGCAAGUCAAGACGAUACCACACUCCGGUACUUAGAAGUUUCGUGAUUACGAGAUCAUUCUCCCACAAUAUUUCCUAAUGUCAUUUGUACUAAAUCAUUCACUUGUACUCACUAAAGGAGAGCUUGAACCUAUGUACUUGUGUAAACCCUUCACAAUUAAUGAGAACUCCUCUAUUCCGUGGACGUAGCCAAUCUGGGUGAACCACGUACAUCUUGUGUUUGCUUUCCUAUCUCUAUCCAUUUAUAUACUUAUCCACACUAAUGACCGGAGCAAUCUAGCGAAGAUCACAAAAAGUGACCGUUUUCGCUACCUAGGAUCUAUCUUGCAAGAGAACGGAGAAUUAGAUGGAGAUCUCAACCAUAGAAUACAAGCUGGAUGGAUGAAGUGUAAGAGUGCAUCCGGCGUGUUGUGUGACCGUCGUAGGCCACUGAAGCUCAAGGGAAAAUUUUAUAGGACGGCAAUAAGGCCAGCGAUGUUGUAUGGCACAGAAUGUUGGGCGGUGAAGCAUCAACACGUACACAAAAUGGGUGUAGCGGAGAUGAGGAUGCUUCGUGGGAUGUAUGGGCACACGAGAAAGGAUAAGAUUGGGAAUGAGGAUAUCCGAGGUAAAGUAGGAGUAGCCAAAAUUGAAGGAAAUAUAAGAGAAAAUCGGUUCCGGUGGUUUGGACAUGUGCAAAGAAGGCCUACUGACGUUCCGGUUCGAAAAUGUGACUACGGGACAGAGGUUCGGGGCCGAAGGAGUAGAGGAAGACUUAGGAAAACUUUGGAAGAGACCCUAAGAAAAGACUUGAGUACUUGGAUCUAACGGAGGACAUGACACAAAUGAGCGCAAUGACGUUCUAGGAUUCAUAUAGCCGACCCCACUUAGUGGGAAAAGGCUUUGUUGUUGUUGUUGUUGUUGUUGUUGUCUCUUCCCUUAUAGUGUAUGUGUAUCCUCGCUAGGUCUGUCCAUUGUGUUCAAGUCUGAGUCGUUAUUGCUGGAUGUCUUACAUGUCCCACACUAUCUUGAAUGCAUUUGAUUUAGUUUUCUCAUUGCGGGUUUCACUUGCAGCUAUGACCCAUUGCAUGUACUGUUGCCCUUGUCAUUUCUUGCGACUUGUGUUCCUCUUUCUUCUGAAUUUUGGUCAAGUCUAAUACCGUGUUAUUGUUGAGUGUCGUGUGAUAUUCACCAAUACAGAAAGCAUGCGAUGGGCUUUACUUUGUAACUUUUAAUUUAUCGGCCUGGCUUCACAUGUAGCUAUGUCCAAUUCAAUGUCAGAAUGAAACUAGAAACUCUCUUCUAUAAAUAGAGAUCAUUCUCUCACAAUAUUUCCUAAUAUCAUUUGUACUAAAUCAUUCAUUAGUACUCACUAAAGGAGAGCUUGAACCUAUGUACUUUUGUAAACCCUUCACAAUUAAUGAGAACUUUUCUACUCUGUGGACGUAGCCAAUCUGGGUGAACCACGUACAUCUUGUGUUUGCUUCCCUGUCUCUAUCAUUUACAUACUUAUCCACACUAGUGACCGGAGCAAUCUAGCGAAGGUCACAAACUUAACACUUUCUGUUGUACCAAAGUCCUCAUUGAUUUUGUGCAUCAAAAUUUGGCCCCGUCUGUAGGAACGACAUUUAUUCCCACUCUCUUCAGCUUUGUUAAGCUGGUUUUCACCAUUCGUACGCUUUCUUUUGACCAGACAUCCCUUUCCAAUAUGGGGAGCGAAGUAAGUCACAACACACAGAAUGACAUCCCUUUUACACCUGGUGCGAAACAACGAAAAAAGAAACAAAAAAAGUUUGGAGUGCACAAUGACAUUUUUGGGGUGCUAAUAACAUCUCCCAAUAGUGAGUGCUAAAACAUAAUGUAUAUUAAAUAAAAGGGUUAAAUUUGUUGUUUCUCUUCAAUUUUAAUAAGCUUAUCUUUGAUAUUACGAGUUAUGUGGAUCACAUAGUGUUAACAAGUUGCACUAUUACGUAAACAUGUUAAAGUGUGUUAUUUUUUUAGUUAGGUAGAUUGACUUGAUAGACGAAUUUGUUUAUUAACCAUGUCAACCCAUUUGACACUAUUAUGAUCAAUAUGAACCCGAUUAUUUUGCAUUUUAUUCUAUACUGUCGUGUCGUUUUCAAAACUACCACCCCAUACAUAUUUGUAUAUAGACAAUCUUGCAUGGAUAUGAACAUUGUGUCUUUGUAUAUCGGUAUGUAAACAAAAUUUAUGGUAAUCAUUAGGAAUGUGAAAUAAUACAAAGGAAAAAAAGUGAAGAAAAAGCAAGACAGAUGGGCAUGUAGGCUGCUGCUGACCUAGCUACAAGCUCCACGGGUGGAAUUUUUGAGCUUUAGAACAUAGGUUAGCUAAAAUCUCUCGAAAGUGAGUCAGAGAAAGAGACUAGUACUGCUGUAACAAGUGGUGCUCAUUUUAUGAGUAAUAUAUGUCUUUAACUUAGAAGCUCCUUCUGCAUACGUAUGGUCUGGUUUUGGUUUUAUCAAGAAGGUAACAUGGGCAGACUUAAAUGGUAAGAAGACAUUUCCAGAACUCAUUGCAGCAUAUGAACUCAAGUUGAACAUGUGCUCCCUACAAAUUGUCUGUCACUAAGUUCAUGUAUAUAUGUAUGAACUCAUCUCGGGUUUCACGUGUAGCUUUGACCCAUUGCAUGUACUGUUGCCCUUAUCAGUUCUUGCAAGAGAUGUGCUAUCCAUACACCCAUUUUUACUUCUCACGCAACCCUUAUUAAUUUUUGUCUGUUGAUCUUCUUUAAUUCAUCCAAUCCGACGGUCGAAAGCCAAAAAAGUGUGAGAGAAGUAAAAAGGGAUGUGUGGAUAUCACACCCCUUCUUGCAACUUGUGUUCCUCUCUCUUCUAACUGUUGGUCAAGUCUAAUGCCGGGUUACUGUUGACUGUCUUGUGUGUUAUUCACGAAUACAGAAAGCAUGUGAUGAGCUUUAUUAUCGGCCUGGAUUGACACGUAGCUAGUCCAAUUCAAUGUACAGAGUUGUUGUGGCUUGUUUCGCUCUUCCUUUUGCGCCGGUUUGAGUGGUCUGACUGCGGACUUCUACAUAGGGAUUUUUGGGAGAAUAAGAUGUUUACAUUGCCUUCAACUUGAUAGGUCCAAGCCCACAUUCUCAGUGUGAGAGGAAGACUGAGUAUGAUGGAUGGGCCGCCCCAACUGUCAAAGCCACUGUCAGGAUACGAAUAUGCAUGACCAUGCUCGAUCAUCCUUGAAGUUUCCUGGUCAGUGUCAAUCACGGAAGAUCAUAUUGCCGUGAGUCUUUUGAAAAUAUGAAUGUAAAUAUUGUGUAAAUAUUAAAGUCCUUUAUUAGGAAUGAUAUUUCUUUGUGUCCUUUUUUGUUUCAUUGGAGAAUAAAGAUUGUAUAUACUUAUAUACCAAAUUAUGCAAUACAUGAAAAUAAUCCUGUAAAAUUCUAUUUGGUAUCAAGGGCUUGGUAACGGUCAACGUAUAGCUGUGGGUGAAUUUUAUCUGUGUCGUAUGUUGAGUAGUGGCUACUAUGCAGCCUGUACCGUGUAUUGCUGUUGCUGUGCAGUGGAUUCUCUCUGGGUAAUUGCCGUGAAUAAUUGCUCGUAUUUAAGCAAUUGUGGACUGCAGCUGCUGCCUAGUGCAAAUUAUAUUAUUAGGUAAAAAGUGAGUGCUCAAAUACCAAGCAAAACAAUUGUAUUGCUUUGAGAAUUCCCAAACAAAUUGGGAUAUUUUCUUACGUGUUAGCUUUUCAUCACUGCUUGGAUUGCUGUCUAUUGCGUGAGGACUUUUUUUGCUACUGGUUUGUGCCGUGCAUACUUAGCUGCUGCAGUCCGUGAAAAAAGUCUGCAGUCCACUGUUUUUGUGUCGAUCCAACAACCUAAAUAGCAGCGUGACACGUUGUUGCUGCUUGUGUUCCUUAGAGCGUGUGGUUCCAUAAUUGAUGCGGUGAUGUGAUUGUCGUGUAUUACUAUCUCGUGAGUUAUGGCGAAUACAAGUUGGAUUUUAGAUUCUGAUGCAAUGGAUCAUAUGACGUAUGAUAAAAUCUUGUUUUAGUCCAUGAAAGAUCCUUAGGCCAUCUCUAACCGAGGGUUGGCCAGAUGGCUCGUUUUAGCCCUCUGGCCCUCCAAGAUUCCUCAAGAUAUUAAUAUUUUAAUGAACAGUACAGGGCCAUAUUGGCCUCCGUCUCCAACCGAGGGCCAAAGGGCCAGAGGACUCGUUUUAGCCCUGUCACAAAAAACCAUCUCCAACCGAGGGCCAAAGGGCCAUAGGGCCAAACAUAAUUUAUUAUUUAAAAACUACAAUUUAAAUUCAAAUCUAACGGCUAAGUGAUGUCAGCUAGCCGUUGGUAGCUGACAUCAUGCUGACGUCAGCGAGCCGUUGGAUUUGAAUUUUUUUUUGCUAUAAAUUGGGUGGAUAUUGGGCUAUAAUUCACACAACUUUAAAUUCAAUCUAUUUCAAUUCAAUCUCUUUCAAUUCAAGUUUGCAAUGAAUUCCAACUUUGGAUCUUCAUCCAAUUCCAAUUAGGGGUCCUCAUCCAAUUCCAAAUUGGAAGCAAAAUAGGCGCAAAUGAGACGAGAAGAUGAGGAGUCUGAUGAGAAGUUCAAGUAAGGCGCAACAAACAAAACAUGGCAGCAGCCAUGGCUGCGGCCAUGAUAUGUUCUCGUGCUACAAAUAAGUACCUACAACAGGAUCUUGUUGCACAUCUUUGGGCCAAAAGAAGCAUGGAGUAGGCUUUUAAGUUUUAUGUUGUUAAAUGUUUUUAAAAAUGUUGUUUAAGUUUCAUGUUGUUAAAUGUUUUUUUUUAUGUUGUAUAAUUUGUAUGUUGGUUAAUGUUAUUUAAUGUUGUUUCAUAUUGUUUAAUGUUGUUUCAUGUUACUUAAUUUAAUUUAAUGUUAUAGGAAAAAAAUAGAAUUGAAAAAAAAUAUGAAACAAAUUUUGUGAAAUAGAAGUUAUAGGAAAAAAAAUGGAAUUUAAAAAAAUAUGAAACAAAUUUUGUAAAAUAGAAGUUAUAUGAAAAAAAAAUAUGAAUCAAAAUUUGUAAAAUAGAAGUUAUAGGAAAAAAAUAGAAUUUAAAAAAAAAUUGAAACAAAUUUUGUGAAAUAAAAGUUAUAGGAAAAAAAUGGAAUUUAAAAAAAAAUAUGAAACAAAUUUUGUAAAAUAGAAGUUAUAGGAAAAAAAAUAGAAUUUAAAAAAAAAUUGAAACAAAUUUUGUAAAAUAGAAUUGAAAAAAAAUAUGAAAAAAAAUUUGAUUCAUAUGAAAAGGAAAAAAAAGGGAAAAAAAGAAGUUUAAAUUCAUAAAAAAAAAAAAGUUAAUACAACGGCUAGUAGCCGUUAUAUUAAAAAAAAUUCAAACUAUUAGUGUCGGUUAUAACCGACACUAAUAGUAAUUAAAAAUAAAAUUUUUGCUUUGAAUAACUAUUACUGUCGGUUAUAACCGACAGUAUUAAAAAAUUCUUCUUUAAUGCUGUCGGUUAUAACCGACAGCAACCGACAGUAUUAAAAAAUUCUUCUUUAAUGCUGUCGGUUAUAACCGACAGCAAUAGGAAAACAUAAAAAAAAAAAUAGCCAGCCCGGGGCUGGCUGGCUAGCCGAAAGCAGCCAGCCCUCCAGCCCUCUCUGAUCCCAUGGGGCCCUCCCAGAUUCCAGAGCCCUCUGGCCUAGCCCUCGGUUGGAGACGGUUUUAGGGCUAUUUUCGGCCCUCUGGCCCUCUGGACCCUUCGGUUAGAGAUGGCCUUAUAGAAAGUGUGUGACAACUGCCAAUGGUAUUACUGCUGCUAUUGUUGGAGCAGCAACUGCCAAUAAACAAUUAUGUAAGGGAAGAGAGGGGUUAUAUUAUGUGGAUGAUGUGGUUCCUGGAAGAGCUAAUUUGGUUCAUGUGUCACGUAAUAGCAAUCUACAUAAGGUAUUGUUAUUGCAUCGUUGUUUGAGGCAUGCAUCAUUUGGUUAUUUGAAACAUAUAUUACCUGAUUUGUUCAGUGGUAUUGAAGACUCAGAAUUGAAAUAUGAAGUAUGUAUUUUAGCCAAAAGUCAUCGUGCUUCAUUCCCUCCAAGUAUGAAUAGAAAAUUUUCUCCAUUUGCGCUAGUACACUUUGAUGUGUGGGGGCCUUCCCCUGUUAGUACUACUUCAGGAAUUAGGUGGUUUGUUGCUUUCGUGGAUGAUUGCACUCAUAUGACGUGGUCGUAUGUGUUGAAAAAUAAAAGUGAGGUUUGUGAUGUGUUUCGUCUAUUUCAACAGAUGAUUAAAACUUAGUAUUCCUCUUAUAUUAAAGUUUUGUGUUCUGACGAUGGUGGAGAGUACAUAAAUUAUGAAUUAUCCCGGUUUCUACAAGAUUGUGGAAUUAUUCAUCAAACUACAUGUCCGUAUACUUCGCAACAAAAUGGGGUUACUAAGAGAAAGAAUCGUCAUAUCUUGGAAACUGCUCGUGUUUUGUUUAUUGGUGCGUCCGUUCCUAAACGUUUUUGGCCUGAAACUGUUUCCUAUGUCGUGUAUGUGAUUAAUCGUAUGCCAUCUCAGGUUGUGGACUUCCAUACACCUCUUCAGUUAUUGAUAGAACGUGUUCUCGUAGUAUCCACCAAUAUCCUACCUCCUCGUGUGCUUGGAUGUGUAACGUAUGUUCAUAUUCACAAGCUUUAUCAUAGUAAAUUGGAUCCAUGUGCUUUUCGGUGUGUCUUUGUUGGAUUUGCAUCCCAACAAAAAGGUUAUAAAUGUUACCACCCAGAAAGUCAACACAUGUAUGCAACCAUGGAUGUGAUUUUUUCUGAAUCGGAAUAUUUUUAUACUCUAGUAUCAUCACCUUCCGAUCACAAGAGGGAGAAUGCUAGUAUUUGUGAUCUUAAUGGUGAUGUUGGGUGGUUGGAUGUACAAGAUGUAAUUACUUCAGGGGGAGUGCACUGUGACAGUGACAAUGCUGUGCCCGAUGUUGCAGAACCUCAGUUUCUUCCUUUGAGACUGUUGUAAGUGCUCAACCAUUGACUACGGAAGAGGAAUGUGAUGAGAGUCCUUGUGCCGUUCGAUUAGCUACUGCCGAACCUGAGGUAACUUCACCGCAGGUUGCUGCCGAAGCUAACAACCCUAAGACUUGUGCCGAAGAUGCUUCCCUCUCUCUCUCUCUCUAGCUCAAUAGUGGCAUUGUCCAAUACGUCUUUUCUGAAUAUCCCUAAGGUAAGUACUAUUGAUGCUCAUGUAACUAAUGAUGUUAUAAGUACAUAUAAGUUGCCACCAAGGCAAAAUCGUGGUGUACCUCCUGACAUGUUUUCUCUGGAAGGAAAAGUGAAGUAUCCAAUAGUGAAUUAUGUGUCAUGUAAAAAUCUUUCACCUGAACAUCAAGCUUGGGUGAAUUAUGUGGAGUCAAUCCAUGUACCAACUUGAGCAGAGGAUGCUUUGAAGACUCAAGAAUGGGCUGAAGCAAUGGAUGAAGAGAUGAGAGCACUACGGAAAAAUAAUACAUGGGAAGUAGUGGAGCUGCUGAGAGGGAAAAGACCAUUUGGGUGCCGAUGGGUUUUCUCAGUUAAAUACAAGGCUGACGGAUCAUUCAACAUGUAUAAAGCAAGGUUGGUAGCAAAAGGAUAUACUCAGACAUAUGGUGUUGAUUAUCAGGAAACUUUUUCUCUAGUAGCUAAGAUGAAUAUGGUACGAGUUCUUAUCUCAUUAGCUACAAAUUUGGAUUGGCCAUUGAAACAGUUUGAUGUUAAAAAUGCUUUUCUUCAUGGACAUUUGGAAAAGGAAGUGUAUACGGAUUUUCCUCUGGGAUAUAAUGCUGGAGGAAAAACAAGAGUGUGCCGAUUGCGGAAGUCACUGUAUGGGCUUAAGCAGUCACCUCGUUCAUGGUUUAGGAGAUUCACUCAGGCCAUGAGGAAGAAUGGGUAUUAUCAAACUCAUUCUGAUCAUACUCUAUUUGUGAAACAGAGAAAUGGUAAAUUAACAGCCUUAAUUAUUUAUGUGGAUGAUAUGAUAAUGAAAAGUGAUGAUUCAAAUGAGAUUGUCAAACUGGAAAAAAACCUCACUGUCAAGUUUGAGAUGAAGAGUUUGGGUGAUUUAAGGUAUUUUCUUGGAGUUGAAGUUGCUUGUUCAUCCAAAGGUAUUUUCUUGUCUCAACGAAAAUAUGUUCUAGAUUUGUUAAAGGAAAUAGGUAUGCUUGGGUGUAAACCUGUGGAUACUCUUAUUGUGGAGAAACAUCACUUGGGAAUUUAUUCAGAUUAGGAACCAGUACAUAAAGGCAAAUAUCAGAUAUUUGUAGGAAGACUAAUUUAUUUAGCUCAUACUCGUUGGAUAUAGCUUAUGCAGUGAGUGUGGUGAGUCAAUUUAUGCACUCACCAAGUGUGGAUCAUAUGGCUGCUGUUAUGUGGAUUUUAGCUUAUUUAAAAUCGGCCCCGGGGAAAGGAAUUUUGUAUAAAAAUUUCGGUCAUUUAAAAAUUGAAGGGUUUAUUGAUGCUGAUUGGGCAGGUGAUGUGACUGAUAGGCGUUCUACUUCUGGAUACUUUACGUUCGUUGGAGGAAAUUUAGUUACUUGGAGGAGUAAGAAACAAAAGUUGGUGUUUAGGUCUUCUGCGGAGGCCAAAUUUAAAGGUAUGGUGCAUGGAGUGUGUGAAGUUCUUUGGUUAUGUAAAUUGCUUUGGGGUCUUGGUUUCAAACCGAAUGAGGCUACAAAUUUGUACUAUGACAAUAAGUCAGCACGAAAGAUUGUAGAGAACCGGUACAUCAUGACAUAACGAAGCAAGUGGAGGUUGAUUGUCAUUUCAUUAAGGAAAAGCUUGAUAAGAAGAUUGUGUCAAUACCGUUUGUGAACUCAGAAGAGCAACUUGUGGAUAUUCUCACUCAUGUUGUGUGUAGUAGGUCUUUUGGUGACUCACUUAUCAAGUUGGGCAUGUGUGACAUCUAUGCUCCAACUUGAGGGGGAGUAGUGUUGUGAGUCUUUAGAAAAUAGGAAAGUAAAUAUUGUGUAAAUAUUAGAGUCCUUUAUUAGGAAGGAUAUCUCUUUGUGUCCUUUUUUGUUUUCUUGGAGAACAAGGAUUGUAUGUACUUAUACCAAAUUAUGCAAUACAUGAAAAUAACCCUGUAAAAUUCUAUUGAUCAAAGAAUGUUUUUUGAUGUGAAACAUGUGUAUCCAGUUAUGGUUAAACUCCAUGUUUUUUAAAUCUCUCCUUUAGAGCUGACUGAAGGUUAGUAUAGGAAGAACAAACGACUCUAGCAAAGCAUAUCAUCGAAAAAGAGUUGGAAGUUUGCGUGCACGAACACUUGAAUGUAAAACAUGUAUGGAUGCACUUAUGCAUAUGUUACAGUUACACGUAUGUUUUGAUUGAUCGAUUUGUGAGCAUGACCUGAACUAUCAUAAGCCAGCCACUCGGUUUCUUUGCACAUUUUGUCCUAGUAAUUUUGAUGUUUUUCGGUCUUACAAGCCGAGUUUACUUUC
rnacentral:lncRNA from 1 species